UGGUUCAGGUGGUUCUGAACCAGAAGACUUGUCUAAAGAAGGUAAAAGAAGGAAAGGAACCAAACGUUAUGUACCACAAAAGAAGUCCGUUGCAUAUGCCUUGUUAAUUGCCCUUUACAGGGGGAUUGCAAAUGGGAAUGAAUUUAUGC